UUCGAAGUUGGACUUACCUAGCUGGA
rnacentral:sRNA from 1 species